rnacentral:rRNA from 1 species
UACGUAGGGGGCAAGCGUUGUCCGGAAUCAUUGGGCGUAAAGCGCGCGUAGGCGGCCUCAUAAGUCCGUUGUGAAAGUCAAAGGCUCAACCUUUGAAAGCCGAUGGAUACUGUGAGGCUAGAGUCCGGAAGAGGCGAGUGGAAUUCCUGGUGUAGCGGUGGAAUGCGCAGAUAUCAGGAGGAACACCAAUAGCGAAGGCAGCUCGCUGGGACGGUACUGACGCUAAGGCGCGAAAGCGUGGGAGCGAACGAGG